AGAGUUUGAUCCUGGCUCAGGAUGAACGCUGGCGGCGUGCCUAAUACAUGCAAGUCGAGCGAACGGACGAGAAGCUUGCUUCUCUGAUGUUAGCGGCGGACGGGUGAGUAACACGUGGAUAACCUACCUAUAAGACUGGGAUAACUUCGGGAAACCGGAGCUAAUACCGGAUAAUAUUUUGAACCGCAUGGUUCAAAAGUGAAAGACGGUCUUGCUGUCACUUAUAGAUGGAUCCGCGCUGCAUUAGCUAGUUGGUAAGGUAACGGCUUACCAAGGCAACGAUGCAUAGCCGACCUGAGAGGGUGAUCGGCCACACUGGAACUGAGACACGGUCCAGACUCCUACGGGAGGCAGCAGUAGGGAAUCUUCCGCAAUGGGCGAAAGCCUGACGGAGCAACGCCGCGUGAGUGAUGAAGGUCUUCGGAUCGUAAAACUCUGUUAUUAGGGAAGAACAUAUGUGUAAGUAACUGUGCACAUCUUGACGGUACCUAAUCAGAAAGCCACGGCUAACUACGUGCCAGCAGCCGCGGUAAUACGUAGGUGGCAAGCGUUAUCCGGAAUUAUUGGGCGUAAAGCGCGCGUAGGCGGUUUUUUAAGUCUGAUGUGAAAGCCCACGGCUCAACCGUGGAGGGUCAUUGGAAACUGGAAAACUUGAGUGCAGAAGAGGAAAGUGGAAUUCCAUGUGUAGCGGUGAAAUGCGCAGAGAUAUGGAGGAACACCAGUGGCGAAGGCGACUUUCUGGUCUGUAACUGACGCUGAUGUGCGAAAGCGUGGGGAUCAAACAGGAUUAGAUACCCUGGUAGUCCACGCCGUAAACGAUGAGUGCUAAGUGUUAGGGGGUUUCCGCCCCUUAGUGCUGCAGCUAACGCAUUAAGCACUCCGCCUGGGGAGUACGACCGCAAGGUUGAAACUCAAAGGAAUUGACGGGGACCCGCACAAGUGGUGGAGCAUGUGGUUUAAUUCGAAGCAACGCGAAGAACCUUACCAAAUCUUGACAUCCUUUGACAACUCUAGAGAUAGAGCCUUCCCCUUCGGGGGACAAAGUGACAGGUGGUGCAUGGUUGUCGUCAGCUCGUGUCGUGAGAUGUUGGGUUAAGUCCCGCAACGAGCGCAACCCUUAAGCUUAGUUGCCAUCAUUAAGUUGGGCACUCUAAGUUGACUGCCGGUGACAAACCGGAGGAAGGUGGGGAUGACGUCAAAUCAUCAUGCCCCUUAUGAUUUGGGCUACACACGUGCUACAAUGGACAAUACAAAGGGCAGCGAAACCGCGAGGUCAAGCAAAUCCCAUAAAGUUGUUCUCAGUUCGGAUUGUAGUCUGCAACUCGACUACAUGAAGCUGGAAUCGCUAGUAAUCGUAGAUCAGCAUGCUACGGUGAAUACGUUCCCGGGUCUUGUACACACCGCCCGUCACACCACGAGAGUUUGUAACACCCGAAGCCGGUGGAGUAACCUUUUAGGAGCUAGCCGUCGAAGGUGGGACAAAUGAUUGGGGUGAAGUCGUAACAAGGUAGCCGUAUCGGAAGGUGCGGCUGGAUCACCU
rnacentral:rRNA from 1 species